rnacentral:rRNA from 1 species
AGUGAACGCUGGCGGUAGGCCUAACACAUGCAAGUCGAACGGCAGCACAGUAAGAGCUUGCUCUUACGGGUGGCGAGUGGCGGACGGGUGAGGAAUACAUCGGAAUCUACCUUUUCGUGGGGGAUAACGUAGGGAAACUUACGCUAAUACCGCAUAUGACCUACGGGUGAAAGCAGGGGAUCUUCGGACCUUGCGCGACUGAAUGAGCCGAUGUCGGAUUAGCUAGUUGGCGGGGUAAAGGCCCACCAAGGCGACGAUACGUAGCUGGUCUGAGAGGAUGAUCAGCCACACUGGAACUGAGACACGGUCCAGACUCCUACGGGAGGCAGCAGUGGGGAAUAUUGGACAAUGGGCGCAAGCCUGAUCCAGCCAUACCGCGUGGGUGAAGAAGGCCUUCGGGUUGUAAAGCCCUUUUGUUGGGAAAGAAAAGCAGCAGGUUAAUACCCCGCUGUUCUGACGGUACCCAAAGAAUAAGCACCGGCUAACUUCGUG